rnacentral:rRNA from 1 species
UACAGAGGUGGCAAGCGUUGUUCGGAAUUACUGGGCGUAAAGGGCGCGUAGGCGGUCUCGCAAGUCCUGUGUGAAAUCCCUCGGCUCAACUGAGGAACUGCACAGGAAACUGCUUGGCUUGAGUUCGGGAGAGGGAAGCGGAAUUCCGGGUGUAGCGGUGAAAUGCGUAGAUAUCCGGAGGAACACCGGUGGCGAAGGCGGCUUCCUGGACCUGAUCUGACGCUGAGGAGCGAAAGCGUGGGGAGCGAUCCGG